rnacentral:rRNA from 1 species
CCAAACUGUUGCCUCGGCGGGGUCACGCCCCGGGUGCGUGAGCACGGGAACCAGGCGCCCGCCGGAGGAACCAACCAAACUUUUUCUGUAGUCCCCUCGCGGACGUAUUUCUUACAGCUCUGAGCAAAAAUUCAAAAUGAAUCAAAACUUUCAACAACGGAUCUCUUGGUUCUGGCAUCGAUGAAGAACGCAGCGAAAUGCGAUAAGUAAUGUGAAUUGCAGAAUUCAGUGAAUCAUCGAAUCUUUGAACGCACAUUGCGCCCGCCAGUAUUCUGGCGGGCAUGCCUGUCCGAGCGUCAUUUCAACCCUCGAACCCCUCCGGGGGAUCGGCGUUGGGGAUCGGGACCCCUCACACGGGUGCCGGCCCCUAAAUACAGUGGCGGUCUCGCCGCAGCCUCUCCUGCGCAGUAGUUUGCACAACUCGCACCGGGAGCGCGGCGCGUCCACGUCCGUAAAACACCCAACUUUCUGAAAUGUUGACCUCGGAUCAGGUAGGAAUACCCGCUGAACUUAAGCAUAUCAAUAAGGCGGAGGAA